AGCUUUGCGCAGUGGCAGUAUCGUAGCCAAUGAGGUUUAUCCGAGGCGCGAUUAUUGCUAAUUGAAAACUUUUCUCAUGGAUUAUGCCUUUGGUGUUGCAUCUAAAAAGUCAUCUCCAAACUGAAGGUCAUAUAACUUUAUUUCUAUG